rnacentral:rRNA from 1 species
AUUGAACGCUGGCGGCAUGCCUUACACAUGCAAGUCGAACGGUAACGCGGGGCAACCUGGCGACGAGUGGCGAACGGGUGAGUAAUGCAUCGGAACGUGCCCAGUAGUGGGGGAUAGCCCGGCGAAAGCCGGAUUAAUACCGCAUACGACCUAUGGGUGAAAGCGGGGGAUCGCAAGACCUCGCGCUAUUGGAGCGGCCGAUGUCAGAUUAGGUAGUUGGUGGGGUAAAGGCCUACCAAGCCUACGAUCUGUAGCUGGUCUGAGAGGACGACCAGCCACACUGGGACUGAGACACGGCCCAGACUCCUACGGGAGGCAGCAGUGGGGAAUUUUGGACAAUGGGCGCAAGCCUGAUCCAGCCAUGCCGCGUGCGGGAAGAAGGCCUUCGGGUUGUAAACCGCUUUGGUCAGGGAAGAAAUCUUCUGAGCUAAUACCUCGGGAGGAUGACGGUACCUGAAGAAUAAGCACCGGCUAACUACGUGCCAGCCGCCGCCGUAAAAC